rfam:Tupaia chinensis contig194754, whole genome shotgun sequence.
CCCUCUGUCUCUCUCUUUUUGGCUAAGAUCAAGUGUAGUGUCUGUUCUUAUCGGUUUAAUAUCCGAUACACCCUCUAUCUGAGGACAAUAUAGUAAACGGAUUUUCGAGGCAGGAAAAUGGAACAGGAGGUUGCUCUGUCCACUCCAUGCAUCGACCUGGCAUUGCAGUACUUCUGGGAAUGGUGCUCCCCUG